AAACCUUGCUCUCAGCGAAUCUUGCCAUGAUCAGCCCUUUUCCAGGUACAUUUGUUUCGAAUAUUUUUUUGAAUCAACAUUUACUCAUCAAAUGCUCUAGUCUGAAUCUUAUUUUUAAAUGAAUUUAAUGAUAUGUUUAAUGAGCAAUAUUAAUUGCACACAGAGUAAGUAGAGAUUAUCUUGUUUUUACAGAAGAGAAGAUCAAGGAAAUUAUUUGUUCAGGAUGAGGAAUGAAGACGGCCAUCUUGUGCCCAAACGAAGACAGAAAGCUGUCCACUGAUGAUCUCAUCAGCCAAAUGAGGGGUUUUUGACCAAGUGAUGGUCUUGAAAGGAAUGAAAGAAGAGGAUGUGGUAAAUUGUCUUCAAAGAAAAAGCUUCUCAAAAGGUCUUAAAACAGCUUGAAGAAUGGUCUGGGAACUGUCUGAAAAUGGGAUGUUAGGAAUGAGAGAUCCUCUGGCUGAGAAAAAGCUACACCAGAUCAGUGCUGGAUAUCAACCACAAACUGUUUCCAGACACGAGAGAAGAAGAUCAUGAUGGGGAAAUGAAACCAGUUUAGAUGUGAUGAUAAGGAAUCAUUAUUUUCUGAAACAGUAUCACAUGUCUUAUAUGUAUCACAUGAUCUGUAUCACAGUUGCCUGGAUGGGAUUGUGUGACUU
ensembl:lncRNA